rnacentral:lncRNA from 1 species
GUUGGAAUAUCUGUUUUACAGAUAUGAUCCACUGAACGGGUUUGUACUUGCUUGAUCAACACGACGAGUGUCACAUGUGAAGCAGAAUCUGCUUACCCUUCCGGAGCACAUGGGAUCGCCCCCGGUUUUGGUGGGGUUCGUGUUGCUCAGUCUUUAGUUUUCUUUGUUGUGUUUUGUGUGUACAGCUUUUUUGUCUUUUCUAUUUUUGCAAUGACGUAUGUUUAUGUUUAUUAUUUUUAUUUUAUUUUUCUACUCCUACUUUUAAGAUAGCAGAAAUGUUUUAUGAGAUUCUUCAUGAUGAUACCUAGCAAUUAGUCACUUUACCUUGCUCUUGGGUAAAACAAAUCCGUCAAGAAAAAUAGAUGAAGCACCGAACAUUCAUCUUUAUGUGUUGGGGUGUUUUCUAAUCUCACUAAAAUAACAAUUUUUUUGUAAAUCUAAUGUAGUGUUUAUGUAUUUCCCUAAUUUUAUCGAAACAACCAUUUUUUUUUCACAAAAUAUUCAUUUCAAGAAUAUUUUAAUUGAACACUUAAAAUCCUUUCC